rnacentral:rRNA from 1 species
AUUGAACGCUGGCGGCAGGCCUAACACAUGCAAGUCGAACGGUAGCACAGAGAGCUUGCUCUUGGGUGACGAGUGGCGGACGGGUGAGUAAUGUCUGGGAAACUGCCUGAUGGAGGGGGAUAACUACUGGAAACGGUAGCUAAUACCGCAUAACGUCGCAAGACCAAAGAGGGGGACCUUCGGGCCUCUUGCCAUCAGAUGUGCCCAGAUGGGAUUAGCUAGUAGGUGGGGUAAUGGCUCACCUAGGCGACGAUCCCUAGCUGGUCUGAGAGGAUGACCAGCCACACUGGAACUGAGACACGGUCCAGACUCCUACGGGAGGCAGCAGUGGGGAAUAUUGCACAAUGGGCGCAAGCCUGAUGCAGCCAUGCCGCGUGUAUGAAGAAGGCCUCGGUU